AAAGAUUAUAAAUAGAGCUACAACUGAAUCUCGUUCCUCAGUUUCACUUACUAGCUAGCUAUAUCUGUGACUGCUUCUAGUAGACUCAUUAAAACAAUGAAUAUAACACUGUUAUUUAAACAUACCGCAUACCCCUACAUCAAGUUGCAAGAAGCCAUAUAGGAACACAUAACGCAGCUCAGUAAAUUGACCGCAAUAUGGGAUAACAUAGAGUAGUGCAGUAUUAUCAAUAUUACCGCAAUUUACCGUUAGUUCUCGAUAAACUACCGGAAGUGGUUUCUUAUAAUGUUGUAUGCAGGGAUUUAGUGAAUAUUACGUAGAGUAUUAUUUUAAAAAGGUUUCAGCAACUGUACCAGAAUAGCUAGGCUGAAUACCAAUUUGGGAAAAUUCACUUGACUGGGUUUCUAAUCAUAAACAUACGGUUA